GACGAACGCUGGCGGCGUGCUUAACACAUGCAAGUCGAACGGAAAGGCCCUGCUUUUGUGGGGUGCUCGAGUGGCGAACGGGUGAGUAACACGUGAGUAACCUGCCCUUGACUUUGGGAUAACUUCAGGAAACUGGGGCUAAUACCGGAUAGGAGCUCCUGCUGCAUGGUGGGGGUUGGAAAGUUUCGGCGGUUGGGGAUGGACUCGCGGCUUAUCAGCUUGUUGGUGGGGUAGUGGCUUACCAAGGCUUUGACGGGUAGCCGGCCUGAGAGGGUGACCGGCCACAUUGGGACUGAGAUACGGCCCAGACUCCUACGGGAGGCAGCAGUGGGGAAUAUUGCACAAUGGGCGGAAGCCUGAUGCAGCAACGCCGCGUGCGGGAUGACGGCCUUCGGGUUGUAAACCGCUUUCGGCUGUGACGAAGCGUGAGUGACGGUAACGGGUAAAGAAGCACCGGCUAACUACGUG
rnacentral:rRNA from 1 species